rnacentral:snRNA from 1 species
GUGCUCGCUUUGGCAGCACAUAUACUAAAAUUGGAACAAUGCAGAGAAGAUUAGCAUGGCCACUGCGCAAGGAUGACAGGCAAAUUCAUGAAACAUUCCAAAUAUCU